ACAACCUGAGCACAAUAAAAUUUACAGUUUUACUUACUCAGAAAUUGCCUU
rnacentral:tRNA from 1 species